rnacentral:rRNA from 1 species
AGGGAAAGGCGAAAAGAACCCCGGCGAGGGGAGUGAAACAGAACCUGAAACCGUGUACGUACAAGCAGUGGGAGCACCUUCGUGGUGUGACUGCGUACCUUUUGUAUAAUGGGUCAGCGACUUAUAUUUUGUAGCAAGGUUAACCGAAUAGGGGAGCCGUAGGGAAACCGAGUCUUAACUGGGCGAAUAGUUGCAAGGUAUAGACCCGAAACCCGGUGAUCUAGCCAUGGGCAGGUUGAAGGUUGGGUAACACUAACUGGAGGACCGAACCGACUAAUGUUGAAAAAUUAGCGGAUGACUUGUGGCUGGGGGUGAAAGGCCAAUCAAACCGGGAGAUAGCUGGUUCUCCCCGAAAGCUAUUUAGGUAGCGCCUCGUGAACUCAUCUUCGGGGGUAGAGCACUGUUUCGGCUAGGGGGUCAUCCCGACUUACCAAACCGAUGCAAACUCCGAAUACCGAAGAAUGUUAUCACGGGAGACACACGGCGGGUGCUAACGUCCGUCGUGAAGAGGGAAACAACCCAGACCGCCAGCUAAGGUCCCAAAGUCAUGGUUAAGUGGGAAACGAUGUGGGAAGGCACAGACAGCCAGGAUGUUGGCUUAGAAGCAGCCAUCAUUUAAAGAAAGCGUAAUAGCUCACUGGUCGAGUCGGCCUGCGCGGAAGAUGUAACGGGGCUAAACCAUGCACCGAAGCUGCGGCAGCGAACGUAUCACUUAAAACGCUUAACGUGACGGCAAAGCCGGCAUGUUCAAGCCACACUAAACGUUGAGUUGGCCGGUGUGCUGACAAACGAACAGGCGUUUUAAGGAUACGUUCGUUGGGUAGGGGAGCGUUCUGUAAGCCGUUGAAGGUGGUCUGUGAGGGCUGCUGGAGGUAUCAGAAGUGCGAAUGCUGACAUAAGUAA